rnacentral:lncRNA from 12 species
GAUUUUUGCCAUUUGAUGUUACAAACGACUUCAUAAUGUAGGAAGAGGAAGGAAAAAAAUCUAGAAAUCAAUUCUUUCACUUAGUGAAAAAAGAGACUAAAAAAUGAAUUGGACAAUCUUUUAAGGUGUUCUUAAACCAAGAGGAUGUAAUUGAAGAACAAAUUAAAUAGCCAGUAGAUAUUUUCCUGUAACUAAAAAUUAACUUCUUAUUUCCAGGUACAUAAUUUAAGGUUGAAGAGCAUUUUCCAGCUACCUGUCUUGUGCAUCACUGAAAAUAAAAGGUUGAAACAGCUUUCCAGUGACUGUCACACACUUCAGCUUGGCCAAGGUGUCCUGACGCGUAAGGAGAGACGAGUAGCAGGAAUGGGGGAAAAACAAGCCCGGGGAUCUGGUAUUUAAUCUCAGCCCUCUUACUGACCAGCAAAAUGUGCCGAAAAGAGAGUUUUAAAGUCUCUUAAAGAACCUUGGAUCACGGUGUGGCCAGGGGAAGAUGCACCACCAUAGACAUUCAACACCUUUUUUUUGUGUUUGUCUUAGAUUUUUCUUCCAUAGAUGAUGUUAGAAACCAGUUUCAAUGCCUUUUUAGAUCUCUCAGAAAGUUUUCAAUUAAAAAAGCACAGGAAUAUAUUUGAG